rnacentral:rRNA from 1 species
GAUGAACGCUGGCGGCGUGCCUAAUACAUGCAAGUCGAGCGAACGGACGAGAAGCUUGCUUCUCUGAUGUUAGCGGCGGACGGGUGAGUAACACGUGGAUAACCUACCUAUAAGACUGGGAUAACUUCGGGAAACCGGAGCUAAUAGCGGAUAAUAUUUUGAACCGCAUGGUUCAAAAGUGAAAGACGGUCUUGCUGUCACUUAUAGAUGGAUCCGCGCUGCAUUAGCUAGUUGGUAAGGUAACGGCUUACCAAGGCAACGAUGCAUAGCCGACCUGAGAGGGUGAGCGGCCACACUGGAACUGAGACACGGUCCAGACUCCUACGGGAGGCAGCAGUAGGGAAUCUUCCGCAAUGGGCGAAAGCCUGACGGAGCAACGCCGCGUGAGUGAUGAAGGUCUUCGGAUCGUAAAACUCUGUUAUUAGGGAAGAACAUAUGUGUAAGUAACUGUGCACAUCUUGACGGUACCUAAUCAGAAAGCCACGGCUAACUACGUG